GCAGAGCAUCCUACGGGAGGCAGCAGUGGGGAAUAUUGCACAAUGGGCGCAAGCCUGAUGCAGCCAUGCCGCGUGUAUGAAGAAGGCCUUCGGGUUGUAAAGUACUUUCAGCAGUGAGGAAGGUGGGUAUGUUAAUAGCAUACUCAUUUGACGUUAGCUGCAGAAGAAGCACCGGCUAACUCCGUGCCAGCAGCCGCGGUAAUACGGAGGGUGCGAGCGUUAAUCGGAAUUACUGGGCGUAAAGCGCAUGCAGGUGGUUUGUUAAGUCAGAUGUGAAAGCCCGGGGCUCAACCUCGGAAUUGCAUUUGAAAACUGGCAAACUAGAGUACUGUAGAGGGGGGUAGAAUUUCAGGUGUAGCGGUGAAAUGCGUAGAGAUCUGAAGGAAUACCGGUGGCGAAGGCGGCCCCCUGGACAGAUACUGACACUCAGAUGCGAAAGCGUGGGGAGCAAACAGGAUUAGAUACCCUGGUAG
rnacentral:rRNA from 1 species